rnacentral:rRNA from 1 species
UACGUAGGGCGCGAGCGUUGUCCGGAUUUAUUGGGCGUAAAGAGCUCGUAGGCGGCUUGUUGCGUCAGCUGUGAAAACCCGCAGCUCAACUGUGGGCUUGCAGCUGAUACGGGCAGGCUGGAGUUCGGCAGGGGAGACUGGAAUUCCUGGUGUAGCGGUGAAAUGCGCAGAUAUCUGGAGGAACACCGGUGGCGAAGGCGGCAUCCUGGACCGACACUGACGCUGAGGAGCGAAAGCCAGGGGAGCAAACGGG